rnacentral:rRNA from 1 species
GCCUACGGCCAUACCACCCUGAACGCGCCGAUCUCGAUCUCGUCUGAUCUCGGAAGCUAAGCAGGGUCGGGCCUGGUUAGUACUCGGAUGGGAGUGGCAACCAAUCCCUGUAAUAA